AGCAGCCGCGGUAAUUCCAGCUCCAAUAGCGUAUAUUAAAGUUGCUGCAGUUAAAAAGCUCGUAGUUGAAUUUCGGGACCGAUAUAUCGGUCGUGCCUCGGUACGUACUGGUAUUUUCGGUUUCUACCUUCUGACGAACCUUGAUGUCAUUAAUUUGGUGUCUUGGGGAAUCAGGACUGUUACUUUGAAAAAAUUAGAGUGUUUAAAGCAGGCUCACGCUUGAAUACAUUAGCAUGGAAUAAUGAAAUAGGACGUUUGAUUCUAUUUUGUUGGUCUCUAGGAUCGACGUAAUGAUUAAUAGGGAUAGUUGGGGGCAUUAGUAUUCAAUUGUCAGAGGUGAAAUUCUUGGAUUUAUUGAAGACUAACUACUGCGAAAGCAUUUGCCAAGGAUGUUUUCAUUAAUCAAGAACGAAAGUUAGGGGAUCGAAGACGAUCAGAUACCGUCGUAGUCUUAACCAUAAACUAUGCCGACUAGGGAUCGGAUGAUGUUAAUUUUUAAUGACUCAUUCGGCGCCUUAAC
rnacentral:rRNA from 1 species